ACCCGCUGAAUUUAAGCAUAUCAAUAAGCGGAGGAAAAGAAACCAACAGGGAUUGCCUUAGUAACGGCGAGUGAAGCGGCAAAAGCUCAAAUUUGAAAUCGGCCACCAGGUCGAGUUGUAAUUUGUAGAUUGUAUCUUGAGAGCGGAUUAAAGUCUGUUGGAACACAGCGCCUUAGAGGGUGACAGCCCCGUAAAAUCUAUUCUCAUUGUAAGAUACUUUCGAAGAGUCGAGUUGUUUGGGAAUGCAGCUCUAAGUGGGAGGUAAAUUCCUUCUAAAGCUAAAUAUUGACGAGAGACCGAUAGCGAACAAGUACUGUGAAGGAAAGAUGAAAAGCACUUUGAAAAGAGAGUGAAAAAGUACGUGAAAUUGUUAAAAGGGAAGGGUAUUGAAUCAGACUUGGUGCUGUUGUUCAACUGUGUUUCGGCAUAGUGUACUCAGCAGUACUAGGCCAAGGUGGGGUGUUUGGGAGUGAAAAAGAGGUUGGAACGUAACUCUUCGGAGUGUUAUAGCCUACUUUCAUAGCUCCUCAGGCGCCUCAGGACUGCGCUUCGGCAAGGACCUUGGCAUAAUGAUUCUAUACCGCCCGUCUUGAAACACGGACCAAGGAG
rnacentral:rRNA from 1 species